ensembl:piRNA 21ur-3024 ncRNA
GUAAACAUCUCACAUCUGGUC